rnacentral:rRNA from 1 species
GGUAAAUCUCGUGCCAGCCACCGCGGUCAUACGAUUAACCCAAGCUAACAGGAAUACGGCGUAAAACGUGUUAAAGCACUACAUCAAAUAGAGUUAAAUUCUAAUUAAACUGUAAAAAGCCAUAAUUACAACAAAAAUAGAUGACGAAAGUAACCCUACUGCAGCUGAUACACUAUAGCUAAGACCCAAACUGGGAUUAGAUACCCCACUAUGCUUAGCCCUAAACACAAAUAAUUACAGAAACAAAAUUAUUCGCCAGAGUACUACCGGCAACAGCCCGAAACUCAAAGGACUUGGCGGUGCUUUAUACCCUUCUAGAGGAGCCUGUUCUAUAAUCGAUAAACCCCGAUAAACCUCACCAAUCCUUGCUAAUACAGUCUAUAUACCGCCAUCUUCAGCAAACCCUAAAAAGGAACAAAAGUAAGCUCAAUCACAACACAUAAAGACGUUAGGUCAAGGUGUAACCCAUGGAAUGGGAAGAAAUGGGCUACAUUUUCUACCUUAAGAAAAUUAAUACGAAAGCCAUUAUGAAAUUAAUGACCAAAGGAGGAUUUAGUAGUAAACUAAGAAUAGAGUGCUUAGUUGAAUUAGGCCAUGAAGCACGCACACACCGCCCGUCACCCUCCUCAAGUAAAUACAAUGCACUCAAGCCUAUUAACACGCAUCAACUACAUGAGAGGAGAUAAGUCGUAACAAGGUAAGCAUACUGGA